rnacentral:rRNA from 1 species
UUCGGGGCACUCGAGUGGCGAACGGGUGAGUAACACGUGGGCAAUCUGCCCUGCACUUCGGGAUAAGCCUGGGAAACUGGGUCUAAUACCGGAUAGGACCUUUAGACGCAUGUCUUUUGGUGGAAAGCUUUUGCGGUGUGGGAUGGGCCCGCGGCCUAUCAGCUUGUUGGUGGGGUGAUGGCCUACCAAGGCGACGACGGGUAGCCGGCCUGAGAGGGUGUCCGGCCACACUGGGACUGAGAUACGGCCCAGACUCCUACGGGAGGCAGCAGUGGGGAAUAUUGCACAAUGGGCGCAAGCCUGAUGCAGCGACGCCGCGUGGGGGAUGACGGCCUUCGGGUUGUAAACCUCUUUCACCAUCGACGAAGGUUCGGGUUUUCUCGGAUUGACGGUAGGUGGAGAAGAAGCACCGGCCAACUACGUGCCAGCAGCCGCGGUAAUACGUAGGGUGCGAGCGUUGUCCGGAAUUACUGGGCGUAAAGAGCUCGUAGGUGGUUUGUCGCGUUGUUCGUGAAAUCUCACGGCUUAACUGUGAGCGUGCGGGCGAUACGGGCAGACUAGAGUACUGCAGGGGAGACUGGAAUUCCUGGUGUAGCGGUGGAAUGCGCAGAUAUCAGGAGGAACACCGGUGGCGAAGGCGGGUCUCUGGGCAGUAACUGACGCUGAGGAGCGAAAGCGUGGGGAGCGAACAGGAUUAGAUACCCUGGUAGUCCACGCCGUAAACGGUGGGUACUAGGUGUGGGUUUCCUUCCUUGGGAUCCGUGCCGUAGCUAACGCAUUAAGUACCCCGCCUGGGGAGUACGGCCGCAAGGCUAAAACUCAAAGGAAUUGACGGGGGCCCGCACAAGCGGCGGAGCAUGUGGAUUAAUUCGAUGCAACGCGAAGAACCUUACCUGGGUUUGACAUGCACAGGACGCGUCUAGAGAUAGGCGUUCCCUUGUGGCCUGUGUGCAGGUGGUGCAUGGCUGUCGUCAGCUCGUGUCGUGAGAUGUUGGGUUAAGUCCCGCAACGAGCGCAACCCUUGUCUCAUGUUGCCAGCGGGUAAUGCCGGGGACUCGUGAGAGACUGCCGGGGUCAACUCGGAGGAAGGUGGGGAUGACGUCAAGUCAUCAUGCCCCUUAUGUCCAGGGCUUCACACAUGCUACAAUGGCCGGUACAAAGGGCUGCGAUGCCGCAAGGUUAAGCGAAUCCUUUUAAAGCCGGUCUCAGUUCGGAUUGGGGUCUGCAACUCGACCCCAUGAAGUCGGAGUCGCUAGUAAUCGCAGAUCAGCAACGCUGCGGUGAAUACG